UACGGGGGGAGCAAGCGUUGUUCGGAUUUACUGGGCGUAAAGGGCGCGUAGGCGGCCACCGCAAGUCGACUGUGAAAUCUCCGGGCUUAACCCGGAAAGGUCAGCCGAUACUGCGGGGCUAGAGUGCAGAAGGGGCAACUGGAAUUCUCGGUGUAGCGGUGAAAUGCGUAGAUAUCGAGAGGAACACCUGCGGCGAAGGCGGGUUGCUGGGCUGACACUGACGCUGAUGCGCGAAAGCUGGGGGAGCGAACGGG
rnacentral:rRNA from 1 species